GGAGGCGAUAAAAGGCGGCAGGGUCGGGCGGGUGCGGGUCCGGCUGCGGUGCCGCGGCAGGUGCUCAUGGAGCCGCAGGAGCCGCCGCGGGGCGGCCCCGCCGCGCUGGAGGCGCUGAAGCAGCGGGCGUGCGAGAGCGUGGAUCUGAACGCGGCGCGGCUGGGCGCGCUGAGCCGCGACAUCUGGAGCCGGCCCGAGCUGGCGUACGCGGAGCACCAGGCGCACGACACCCUGACCCGCUUCUUCUGCGGCGGGGACCUGCCCGGCGCCGCCUGGGCCGUGCAGCCGCGCUACAAGCUGGGCACGGCGUUCCGCGCCGACUGGGGCGCGGCCGGCCCGCGGGACCCGCUCCGCAUCGCCUUCCUGUGCGAGUACGACGCGCUGCCCGGGCUCGGGCACGCCUGCGGACACAACCUCAUCGCCGAGGUGGGAGCCGGCGCCGCGCUGGCGCUGAAGGCCGCCCUGGAGAGCCUGGCGGAGCCCGCGCCCGUGCAGGUCACGGUGCUGGGGACGCCCGCGGAGGAGCAGGGAGGAGGCAAAAUCGACUUGAUAAAGGCUGGAGCGUUCGAUGGCCUGGAUGUGGUUUUCAUGGCGCACCCCUCGCAGGAAAACGCGGCUUACCUGCCCGAUGUGGCUGAGCACGACGUGACUGUGAAAUACUAUGGAAAAGCUUCUCAUGCUGCUGCUUAUCCUUGGGAAGGAGUUAAUGCAUUAGAUGCUGCUGUUCUUGCGUACAACAAUCUGUCUGUUUUAAGACAGCAAAUGAAACCAACCUGGAGAGUUCAUGGUGUAAUAAAAAAUGGUGGUGUGAAACCUAACAUCAUUCCUUCUUACACUGAACUAGAGUUUUACCUGCGUGCACCUUCAAUGAAAGAGCUUUCUGUUCUGACAGAGAAGGUUGAGAACUGCUUCAAAUCUGCUGCACUGGCCACAGGAUGCAAAGUGGAAAUAAAAGGUGGUGAAAAUGAUUACUACAACGUGCUUCCAAAUAAGAGCCUCCAGCAAAUUUACAAGGAGAAUGGAAAGAAACUUGGAAUAGAAUUUAUAUCAGAAGAUGCUAUCUUGAAUGGUUUGUCAGGAUAUCAGUUUCUUCUGUUGAAAGGGAAGGAAGAUAGCUCAGUUGCUUCUCCAUGUCUGUGCAGCAGAAAAGUCGUAAACAGAUGAGCAAACUCGCUGCCACCUCUACAUGGGUAUUGGUAUCGGUCUGCUCACAGGUAUCGCUCUAGGCAGCUAAGCGUUGCAAAGAGUCUCUUGAGCACAUCAAAUCACACUACUCCGUGUGUGCCUUGUGCCCGCUCUGCUCACUUGGCACACAGCCAGGGUGACAUAAAUAACGUGAAACUGAGUUAGUUCGGACCAGGUGCCUUGGCCUGUUUCUCCUCCUACCGGCAGUAGGGCAGCUUUACUACAGGAUGCCAAUAACCUCCCAAAGAAGAUGGCUUAGUUGAGCAAGCCUUAGAUGAGGCACCCACACUUGUGAUAACUUUGAUGUUUUUAGCAUUGAUGGGGUUCAUUGGCUCCCUGUGCACAAGACCGAUACAGGCAAUAUUAAGAAGGAGCCAGUAUGCUUUGAAAAUGCCGCUCUUGAAGCUUGGGACUGUAUAUAAGUGUUUCCUGGAAUCUUUUGUAUUUUCCCCUCCAUUCAUGUUUGUGGUAAUACUGACUUCUAGUAAGUAAAUAUUCAGUGACUUGAAGAGGCUUCAGUAUUAGCUUCAGGAUACGUUUUUGAGUGGCUGGAGAUCCCAAUACCUCUCUGUUGAAGAUAGUGCAGAAUUCUGUAUAUUGCAACUGCAAUUAUUUAUACUUGUAGAAGGAAUCCUGAUCUGUAUGUGUCUGGCAAGCAUACAGUUUCAGAUGCUUUUAUGGAAGCCAUUGGAACACCUGAUGUUGUAAACGUGCAUCUAGUUUAUUACCACUAAAGGGCAUUUUUUCUGUUAGAGGGGAGAAUUUGACUGUCACAUUUUUAUUAAAAGCUGCCUGGAUUUUGGUUCUCUAUUACUAGAAAAUACCCAGUUUAAAUCCCUCUAUUCAGCAAAAAUAAUUUGUAAACUGGAAUUUUACAUGACUGAGAACUGUGAUGCACUGACAUUUCUGAUGUUUCAUUCAUUAAUUAAGAGCAGGGAAAAGGGCAGCACAGUCUUUCCAGUAGUUUAUGUAUUAGGACUUAGUAAGGCAAGUCUAGAACUCUUGGUUUAGUCUGGAGUAUGCAGAACUUUUAGACUUCUGGUUUGUCUAUCCAGGUUGACCAAAGAACGAAUCAGUAGUGUAAACUACUGGAAAUUGAAAUAACUUGUUACUGUGCCAAGACUUGGGUUUUCUUCAAAUGCAUAAUCAAUUUAUUGGAAAAGAUGUUUUUGGACAAGUCUUGCUUCUUCCGUUGUCUGUAAGCAAGGCAAAUAGCAAACUCUUGUCCUCAUAAUGUCGGCUCUGUGGACUCACUUUUAAUAACUGUAUACUUCCAAGUAAAAUCUAUAUUCUUCAAUCAUUUUAUUAUUAAAUCUUAAGGCAUUAGCAAUAUCUUCUCUCCACAAAGUAUCAUAAUGUGGAGGCUACCUGAUAAAAAUAAUUUUAAGUCUUUGGAACGGUCAUUUUGUACUAUAGAAACAAAUUCUUGCAUCUCUGGCCUGAAAAUAGUUAAUUGAGAUUUUAAUUAUCAUCCCAGUUUUUCCCUGCUACGACUUCCUCUGAUAUCUGGAUAUCACAAAAUGUCAUUUUAACAAAUAAUGAGUGGAUUGCUUGUGUGGGUAAAAAAAAAAAAAAAGGCACUUCAGUUGUAGUUGUAGACUCUUUGUCUACAGAUGAAGGAUCUACUACUUUGGGAUGGUAUCAUUCAACAGUUAAGGCAGUAUUGUGAGAUAGAUCCUAUCACUAGAUAACAUACUGAAAGUGCUAGUCAGACAUGAAAGAAUCAUCAUUAAAAUCUGAAGCAGGUUUUUUUUUCUUUUUAUAUCUGCAAAGCACUAGCAUUUUGUCUGGAGUUUAGUUCUGAUUUUAUUUCAAGAGUGCUUGUGCUGUUAAGAUUUCCAUAACUGAGAAUAAUCAAAGGGCAUGGGGGGAAGAACAGUUGUCUUCAGUCUGGUUUUGUUUAAAGAUAGAUUGUUUCUACUUCAGAGUCCUCUGUCUAAUCCUGAAUGUUUGCAUGUUGGUGAGAAGUGGGAAGUUUUGGGCCUAAUUUGAAGGGCUGUAACAGAAAAAUUGCUGAACUGCCAGAAAUGCCAGGGUUUGCAGCUUUCAUUGUUUUCAUAAUUAGCAGUUUACUAUUGGGAGAUGCUUGAUAAAAAAUUAACAGUAAAGGGAAUGGGAACAUGCUGAUACAUCUUCUGGCAGUCUGGAACUGAUCACUGAUCAGAAGCACACUGGAGAGCAGUAUCUGGAGAUGACUAGUUAGGGAAAGCACCUUGGAGAUGGGAAGUAUUUAUGGAUAAUGACUCAUUAGAAAUACUUUUAUUUUGUUAUUUGGGGCAAAGGAUAUUCUGUUUUAGAAACAAGCAGGAGGUAAUGUCUUUCAGGCAUUUUCUUACAGCAUUCAGAACUGUGCAACACUUGUUCAUGAAGAAAAUCUCCAUGCUCCUUCUAGGUUCCACAGACUUUGGAAAUGUUACAUUUGUGGUCCCUGGGCUUCAUCCUUAUUUUUAUAUUGGCUCUGAUGCGUUGAAUCAUACUGAGCAGUACACAGAAGCUGCAGGGUCACAGACUGCUCAGUUCUAUGCUUUGCGCACGGCAAAA